UACGUAGGGUGCGAGCGUUGUCCGGAAUUAUUGGGCGUAAAGAGCUUGUAGGCGGUUUGUCGCGUCUGCUGUGAAAAUCCGGGGCUCAACCCCGGACUUGCAGUGGGUACGGGCAGACUAGAGUGUGGUAGGGGAGACUGGAAUUCCUGGUGUAGCAGUGAAAUGCGUAGAUAUCAGGAGGAAUACCGAUGGCGAAGGCAGGUCUCUGGGCUGACACUGACGCUCAUGCGCGAAAGCGUGGGGAGCAAACAGG
rnacentral:rRNA from 1 species